rnacentral:lncRNA from 1 species
GAAUGAAUCAUGACCAACAACUUUCCAUCUCCACAAUUCAUGACCGACCAUGGGAAAGAAAAACCUAAGGGAUUUCAAAGCUAUUUUUAGUAAACCUAUUAGUCAUCCAUCCACUAUAAAUACUACCAUUUACGUCCCUCAUCCAUCAUUCUUCACUUUACAUUCUCUUCUCUCAUUUCAUUUUCCUCUUCUUUUCACGCAUAGCCAUUCCCAUUUUCCCUUUCCCUUAGCUAGCAAUUCCUUGAGAAAAUACUCUCUUGGUCGGCCACCUUGGGGGGCACUUUAUGAAUGAGCAAACACAAGGAUUGGAGGAAGCCACUACGAUCGAUUUCCAGAGGACUGCCAAAUCAAUCAGAGUUUAUUCUUCAUUGUCUUUGUUUUACUUUUAUUAAUCAUGUUUGCAAUUUGUUCUGUUGUUUUUUCAUCAUCAAUGGUAUCUUAAUUUUGUUUAGCUAGAAUAAUUACAUCUAUUUGAUGAAGUUCUUUUGAUUCAUGUUCAUGGUGUUUUGUGCCUCAAUCGAUCAUGCUUUCAAUUAAAAUCAUGCAUGUAUUUCAUUCAUUAAAACGUGACUAAAUGCAUUAGAAUUAAUUGCUUAAUCCGAACCUGAUGAUGAUUAAUGGACACAAUAAUUGAAAGGUGCAUGCUUAAUUUGUAUCCGACCUAGAAUAAAUUAAGGUUUGUAAUAACUUGAACGAGCUCUAUUACCUUGCAUAGCUUUUAGGUUUAUGUGAUUAAAUUAUUUCAAACCGACUCAGUCCUUGUGACUUCACAUGAAAUCUAAGAAACCCUUAAUUAAAUAUGAUCAUGAUAGUAUGCAUAUUUUUCUAAGUAAAAGAUUUUGAAAGGACUUAAUAUUGGCUUCAAGUUCAUGAAAGAUCAAGGAGUCAUAGAAUAUUUUCCAGAACAGUAUUAAACAUGAUGAAAAUGAAUUAAGUCAAUUGAUGUGAUUAUUCUAGCCUAUUCAAGUUAUUGUUGUUGAAGCUUAUGAAUUGUUGCUAAAUUCAUCUCAUACAUUUUAUUGCAUACAUUACAUUUAGGAUUAAUUUGCAUUGGAGAUCAUUUUGCAUCUAGAUAAUUAUUUUUCUU